UUUCAACCCCAAUCUUCUAGUCAGUGUUUACUGAGGGUGUAAGAGUAAAGGGUAUAGAUUGAACUCCUACUUUUUCAAAGAAGUUCACUUGAAACCAUGGCCUCGUAUGGGAACCUACUUUGUGGAGUGUCAAAUAGUUCCUGCUCUGUGGUGAAUAUGGUCGGUCAGAGGUUUUGCACUCCCUGUCAGACAGCAACGCCUGGGCGACCCAACCCAACCCAUCACAGUUCUGGGGUGACAACCCCACUGCAGCCUGAGUAUAGAACAGAUCAACGUGUUAGCAAACAUUGGCCUCCCUGGCCCAGUCCACAUGAUCAGUGAGGCUCUAUUUUUAAUCCAUCCUAUUCUAUGUGAUUACAAUCCUGUCUAUUUUGUCUCAUUGAAGUUGUUGAAUAUUUACCAGUAAGUCUCUAUUGUCAGUGUUAAUCAUUCACUUCAGUUUCCCUCCGAAUUGAGUUAUCCAAUAUUAUCAUGUGCUGGAAAUACUGUCCUACUACUAGGAUCCAUUGGCCAAGCGAUCACAGAGGAAAGAGGAGAUGGAAUAAAACAAGGCAUUUUAGAGGAACUCUCCAUAGUUUGCAAGUGUAUUUAAUGGAUUGUGGUUCGGGGAGUUUCAAAAGCCCAUGGACAUAACAGGAUAUCUUUGUUGAAAUCAACAAAAAAAACUCUUCAAGACAACCCUAGGCAACCAUUACCACGUUCAUCACUUGAACCAGAAGCAAUAAGUCAUCUUUAUGGGAAGAGUGUCUGAAAAGCUCCCAGCAUCAUAGAACCAUGCUACAACCACAGUGUAACAGGGUUAUGGUAGAGCCCUGUAGCCCAGGAAUACCUGGCUAUCUAUGAUCUACUACUGCAUGGGAGAAAGUGGCUUUGGAAAUGUCUGGUUGCCAAAGUUCACGCACUAACAUAAAAUGAUCUGAAACUGUGUAUAUUAAACAUGUUUUAAUCUAGCAUUCCAGUAUGAAGUUAGAGGCCCAGGACAAUAGCCAGCAUUUACAUAGAAAUUGGUUAUUGCACAUAGCUCUGAGCAUGUUCUCCAUGAUAUCAAAGGUUGCAAACGAUUAUGUAAGUACAAUAUGUACAGUUUGUCCUUGUUGUAUAUAUCAUAAACAACUCCACCAUUAAAGGGGAAAUCUGCGAAUUCUAAACCAAUUUUUGACAUGUAAAUUAAUGAUAGUGUAAAUACCCAUUGAUUAUUGAAUAAUGUACAUUCUAACUACCUCUUGAGCUUAGUUCAACUGUCGUACCCCAUCAGAACCCAA
ensembl:lncRNA